ensembl:lncRNA
AGCCUCUGUGCUGCCGGGAGAGGGAAGCGAAGCGAAGGGCUACUGAAACAAAAGGUUUCUCGUGUUGCAGGCUGAGCGAGGGCUGCAGCAGAGGCUCUCAUCGGCCCGAAGCGGUGAGCUCGUGGAAGCGGUGAGUGUUCGAGAGUCGCUCGGUAAGAUCUCUCGUGCUGGGGCUCCUGUAGGGUUGCUGCUCGACUGCCUCUGUCUUUGGGAUCGGCACGGCGCCGCCGCUGGGCUCCCGUGUGGCUUUUUUAGUAGGACCGGCACGGGGCCUCCGCCCGAGACCGAGCACGAUCCCGGGGUGGCCUCGGCCACUGCGGAGUGUUUUGCGGGUGCUCUCACCCAUCCCGUUUCCAGCAGUGGGAGCGAGCAGGAAAGACAGACCGGUCAGGCGGUGGAGUCUCUCUUCGAGGGAGAGAACGGGAACGUAUCGAGCUCCACCUAGGGGUGAAUGAAGAACCAGCGGAGCGUUUGUGCGUGAGGCUGAAGAGGCAGCUGGAAAUGGUGCCCACAGCUGUGAGGCCAGUUCUCAUGGUAGGCUCCAGGAGUUUCCUGCAAUGUGUCAAAGGUAAGAUCUUCUGACACAGGUGAUGAAGGAGGCAUUGAGGAGAGGGGCUGCUGGAGCUCCCUAUUGCAGAAGAGCCAUUUGGGGACAGGAAGGCCAGGGGCAGCCUGGAGCGUGCCAGUCGUGAGACCACAGCGUUUGGGAUCUUGUGUGGAAGCUGCAAAGCAAUGAGUAGGAUUGAAACACUGGACUUAGAGGGAGCCAAGUUUGUCCUCUUGAAGGGCCUACUUGGAGGUAACCCUUGCUCAAGCAUAGGAAGGGGUCCUGUGAAUGCUGGAGCAUUACUUCGUCCAUGCUGAGGUGCGCUGUGUCCCAAGGAGGAAGGAACUGCGCAGGAAUGGUGGGGGACCUGCAGGGCUGACUGAGGAACUUGAAGGGGAGAAGGAAGAGAGAGGCUGAGGAAGGCCAAGUCCCUCUGAGUAUCAGCUUUGGGAGGGAGGUCAAGGCUAAUGGAAGUUUGUCAACAGGAGAGACUGGAGAAAUUGCAGGCCUGCGCUUUACAAGGCGGAGGCCUCUUGGGUUCAGUGGUUUCUGCUGAGAGUGCUCCUGGGGAACCUGGGGUCCUGGAGGAGAGAGUCCCUGAGGAAGGAUGUCUUCCCCUCAGUUGCGGAGGAGCUGGUCAAAGGUAGUUCAGGCAGAAAGGAGGCCAGCAAAUGCCUGAGCUGUAGAGGGCUAUGUCUGUGCCCGCUGAGAGCUGGCAGCGGUGACUGGCAAUAGCUCUGUCACUUUUCCCUGCUGUUUCCUGUGGGAAAGGUACCUGAAGACUGGAGGAUGGCGGAUGCCACCGCAGCCUUCAGAAAGGGUGUGGAGGAUGGCGUGUGCAACUUGGAGGUAGGUUGGCCUCAUGUCUGUUCCUGGGGAGGUGACGCAACAGCUUGUUGCAGGUGUCAUUGCCAUGUGACCGGAGGAGAAGGAAUUUGCAAGGAGCAGUCCAGGUGGAUGGACAGAGGAGAAGUCAUGCUGGACCAAAAGGGUGAAGGCUGCAGAGAGGAUUGGCUGGAGCAGGUGUGCAGUUUUCCCAGCGGUGGGAUGAAGGAGGUGAGAGAGGGGGAGCCCCAGGCGGGAGCCCUUGUGGUGGAGGGCUGCCCCCAGGAGCGCCCCCUUGGAGGUGGUUUGUGGAGGUCUCUGUGCAGGUUCAGGCUGGAGGCAGGAUCCUGGCGGUGUGAGCGGGGCGCCCCUGUGGAGCAAGGGUGGAAGGUGCGUGGCAGGUCCUGUCCCGGAGGAGUGGAGUUAAGGGUCCUGGCGUGGCUGUUUUCCUGCAUGGAAGAUGUAGAUCCUGGGAGCUGCGAUGAGGAGGAGCAGAGCCAGCAGUGGCUCCUGUGUGGCGAUGGCUGCUUUGUGUGGUGCUCCUGGGCUGAAAGGAGGAGGAGAAAAAAGUUUUUAGUGUGGUUCUUCAAAGCUCAGUUUCCCUUCCCCAAGAAGCUAUGGGGAGCUUCUAGGUCUAAUGCUGUUCCUCUGCUUUUGAGCUGAAUUUCUGCACGGCAGCCUUUCUCGAAUGCAGUAGGGCUUCCCUGGCUUGAAGAUGGGUGUGCUGUCCUGAGGGAGGAGCAGUGUUGGCUGUCUUACAGUGACCUUCUGCUUUCCUUUAAGAAGAGUCCACUAAGAACUGUAUCGGGUUUUUCAGUAGGAGGCUGUCACUGGAACACACAGGAACAGUCAGAGCAAUUACUGAAUUGGACUGUCUGAGCUGAAAGUUGAUGGUGCAUCCCUCUGGUAGAGGGAAUGCAAAAAAGAGAGGUCUCAAAUCAGUAGUGAGUUUAUUGCUGAAGAGCAAAGAUUUGUAUCUCACCCUAAGCUGGGUGUUCUUCACUGCCACAAGCCCAGUCAUUUCACUAUACCCAUGUUCUGCCUGGUACCACUCUGACUAACAACCAGAAUGGCUGAGCAAGGAGUACUGUUUGCAGCUAGGAAGCCGAAAACAGCCAAAAAACCCUUCUGUUGCUUCCUUGUGUGUUCUGGGGGGGUGCACAGUCAGAAGAGAGCUUCCACCAUGCAUACCAGUCCUUAUAAAGUAUCUUUCCUUAUGAGCACCAGUACGGACUCCCUUUCACUGUCUCUUUUAGCUGGAGAGCUGGGCUGUGCAUCUGUGUUCCUCCAUCUACAAUGAGAAGAAAGGAUUUCCUUUUUUUUUUAAUUUUGUUGUUGUAACAAGUAACAAAUAAAAUUCAAGGGAGCUUGGCAACUGUGUUUGACUGUGAGUGGUUCCAGAAGUCUGACCUUUGUUCUUCUGUCAUUCAUAUUGAACACUGAUCCCUAGGUGCACAGUGCACAAGGAGGCUCUAACCUUCUCCAGUUUCUACACUCACUUGAAGUAAUUAUGGCCAUAGUCAUUUCCCUUCCACAUCAACAUUGGUUACUGUACUGAGCAGAUAAAUCCCUUCCCCCAAACCUAUGUGGCUGCAUGACAAACCAUGGGGACUCCAUGUGGAAAUAACAGUAAAAAUAAGCCAUCCAGGGCUAAGAGGAGGUCUUUCAAACUUGAUGUGAUAUGUCUGUUCCUCAGGGGUUCGUAUGGUCUUGUGUACUGGACACUGCAAAAAAACAGUAGCAGAAGCAGUGAAACUAAGGGAAGAGGAAGGUUUCAGAUAUCACCUUGCAAAGCUCAUUGCUCACAGCAUAAGCUCUUCAGACUACCUUGACACACGGGCCUUGGAGAAGUCAGGCACAAGCGCUUAUCCUUCUAAAUGCCUUUCCCAAGAGCUGAGACCCCACAAACUUCACACACCUAGCAAAAGCACACAGGAAUGGGUCUCCAAGGAGGAAAAGCGAGCUCGCCUGUCAGUACUGCCAGAGAAGACAGUGGUGGAGACUGUUGGGCUGAUGCCCUCUUGUGUUGUUUUAAAUGCUAGUCCGCUAAAGUAGGAUGAUCAAACAAAUGUACAUUCCUAAAGUCAUCCUCUGACUCACUGAACCCUCUUCUCUAUUUUUCCCCCUCUAAGUCAGAGUAUUUUACUUUUUUGUCCUAAACAAAAAUUAUCUAGGAAAUAUCCUUUUUGGCAGCCCAAAUUGUUAGCAGCACAGACCAUUCUCUGCUCACAGAAGCCUUAGUUCUAU